AUCCUGCCCUAGCUCUUGCUGUUGUUGUAGCGGUAAACAAGAGUAAGCAGGUCAAUAAUCAAAUCCAAGGAAGACUGCCACCUCCUUGGAUUUAAUUCAUUAAUCGAAAAGUGUAAUGGGGUUCUGCGGGCAGUUAAAUAGAUGGUAGAAUGGGGUUGUCCAUGACACAGGAUAACUCAUUUUUUACAUCAGGACCAAGUCUGUUAAGAAUGAGUGAGAUGAUUGGAUCGAUUGAUCUGCUGACAUCUUGAUACCGAGGUGUGAUGGCCCUUGGCUGGAGUUUGGACCUCCAGGUUGCCCUGGUACGUAGAAAUAUUG
rnacentral:lncRNA from 1 species